rnacentral:misc_RNA from 1 species
AGCGUCAUUUCAACCGCCAAGCUCCCGGGCUUGUGUUGGGGCCCUGCGGCUGCCCGCAGGCCCCGAAAACCAGUGGCGGGCUCGCUGUCACCCCGAGCGUAGUAGCUUUUGUCUCGCUCCGGGCGUGCCGCGGGCUCCGGCCGUGAAACAUCCACACCAAGGUUGACCUCGGAUCAGGUAGGAAUACCCGCUGAACUUAA